CAGCGCGGACGAGCCAUCUAGCCUUUAUAUACAUAUCUAUGGUUUCGCUCGCAGCCCAUCUUUCAAGCUGACGCCCCGCGUCGCAAUCAUCCUCCUCGCGUCUUUGACCAAUCAGCAUUCAAAAGCAAGAUAAGGUCAUCUUAUUUUUUAUGGACAACUUUCGCGGUACAUUAGCAAUUCUCAGGUGAAUUGUUGGGAAUGGAGUCCUUCAGAGCCAAAACACUGAGCCCAGUGUUCCAGAACCCAGAGGAGAAAGACAGGCUGUGGGAGGAAGUUGAUGAGCAGGACUUGUAAGAUGAGAGGUUUGAGGAAGAGAUCAUGCAGGACAUCACAGUUCAGUGCUGAAUGAGGACCCCACAGCGUCUUUCCCCUUCAGUGCUGUCACAGCCAUGUGACACUGAAUCAGUCUCUCAGACGAGGCUCAGCCUGGCUAUGCCAAGCCCUUUCGUUUCAGAAACUUCACUUUGAACUCGGCGAGCUUGUGGACACUUGUGGUGAUGCAGGCACAUCAUACAGUGGACAAUAUUAUGCAAUGGCAUAGACUGUCUGUGCUUUGGGUAUUUUGCUGUUCAUAAUGGUGCACGGACAUCAGCGUAUGACCAACUAUUGCACCGUUUCACGAAAUACUGUUCAGUUGGAAGAUAUAUACAAAGAUCAUGAAGACCUGAUAGAUCGGUGCCUGGAACGCAAUACAGCCAAAAGACCGACAUUAGAAGAGAUCUUACAACAAGAAGGGUUUGACAAGAAAUUAAGAUUCAUCAACCCUCUGGAUGUCGCAGAUGAUUGUGGUGUCAUCUGCACACUUCGAGUUUGAUGGAGGGGUGUUUUAAAAUCCAGUCGUUGAUGUAAUGGAAGAAGAGAAGUGAAGAUCGCACACAGCUCUGAGGAGCACCAGUGCUAAUGGUGCUGGAGUGGGGUACUCUGACUUUACAGAAAAUGGGAAAUCUCACCUGUUCCUAACUCCCAAGUCUGGAUGACAAUUACAGGGCACGUUCCACCCAGAAAGGUCACAGCCAUUUACAUCCUGGCCACAACAUGUUCACCCCUGUGACAUCUGGUAAACGAUACAGAGUAUUGUACAGUAUGCUUUCACAAACAGAUUUAAAAACUGCUUUUUCAUUUAUAAAAAGGUUUUGCACUUACAUUUUUAAGUGUAAUCAGUUUGGAUAUACAACUUUUGAAAACUUUUUUAACUCUACUAGUGAUGAGUUGCUUUGACUAAAUAAAGUUACAGCAACGAAUCACUAGUCAAGAUAAAAAAUCAAAGGUGAAAUGACUUGUAUAUUCAAGUUGAUUAUACUUAAAAAUGUAGUGCAAAAAUGUUUUCCAGUGUACCAUAAAGGGACGGUCAUACUACACUUUUUGUUCCAUUAACGUCCAGUCAUGCACAUGUGAAAAUGCAAGCUUGUGUAACGAUAUUUAAUGUUUUGCUUUGUGCCAAAGUUCAAGUCUGGUGAACUCUGACCUGCGAAUUCGUAUUCGUAAGACGUGACUAGCAGAAAACCAGCACGUGACUUUUCUCCCGCCCAUAUUUGCAGCAACGUCCGAAAAAUAUUGUCAUGCUCGAAUUCUAGUGUGACCGCCCCUUAAAGUAGUUGCACUACUGAACAGUGAACACCACACCCUUUAUAUGACACCAGAGAUCUUAACCACUAGUUCCAUAUUGCCUUGUAGUGCAGUUCUUCAUUAUGUAAUGAUGACUUAUUACAACUAUGCUACCCUACCUUAACAUCUGUCACUUUGUACUUUUAAUUGCAAAAUCCACCAAGGGAGGUCGCGCUUUUACCCACCUCACACCUAAACUGUUGAUCAGCCUUCCUGACACUGGUCGGGGUUCAGACACAUCUCUUCAGGCUAGCAUACACAUAACUGCUUCCUGUAACUUUGCAUAAAGUUAUGAAUAACUUCUUAAAGAGACACAAGGCAGCAUUUUUAUGUUAAUAAAUCAUCUUCGUAAGUCUGUAUAUGGUUAAAUGACUCAUUACAUGACGAAUGAAGACUUUCUCGCCCGCCCCUACCGUUUGUAGGAAGAAUACCCCACUUGCAAGUUCGCUGUAUCCGACCCGGUGUCCUUCAGUCUCGUCAAGUCUCAGAUAUAGAAAGCAUUUACUCCCAGACACUAGGGGGAGCUAGUAGAGAAAUAAUACUCAGACUUGCCUUGUGUCCCUUUAAUAACUAUCCUCUACCUAAAAAGCUAUGAACAGCAGCUACGCUAAUUUUCUCUCUUUGUUUUUCUGUUUCUAUGCUCAUCCUGAGGUAACUACAGUACAGAUUAUACCAGCUCCAGUCUGGAUCCCACCUCCAUCACAUGACCCAACACAUAAGGAACGAUGACACCGGCCCUUCCAAGGAUUUCAGACGACACCAGCGCUGGACUAUAAACUGACUGAUCUAUAAUUUUUUAAUUUUAAGACAUUUGCUGAAUGUUACUCUACUGCAUACAUAUAUAAAAUAUAACUAAUAUGCAUUUUAUAGACUAUAAAUGUUAAAACAUGUAACAAGAAAUCCCAUCAGAAUUUGAGGUUUAGAUCACAUUUAUAUGAUUUCUAUGUUUUACAUCUUCAGCUGUUGUUUAAUUUAGAUUUAAUAAUUGGUACUUUAGUUAACUACUGAAUUACAUCAAUGGAAUACGCAACAAUGAAUAAUAUGAGUAUUAUAUUUAUAUUAACAAGUGUAAUGUAUGUAAUGUAUGAAUAUUAACUUCAGAACAGUACUUUUUUGUAGGUAUUUUGUCUUGUCUGGUUUAAAUCUUCAAAUACAGUCUCUCUUUCCCGGA